GAAUGCUGACAUAAGUAACGAUAAAGCGGGUGAAAAGCCCGCUCGCCGGAAGACCAAGGGUUCCUGUCCAACGUUAAUCGGGGCAGGGUGAGUCGACCCCUAAGGCGAGGCCGAAAGGCGUAGUCGAUGGGAAACGGGUUAAUAUUCCCGUACUUGGUGUUACUGCGAAGGGGGGACGGAGAAGGCUAUGUUGGCCGGGCGACGGUUGUCCCGGUUUAAGCGUGUAGGUGUGUGUUCCAGGUAAAUCCGGUUCACUUUAACACUGAGGCGUGACGACGAGGCACUACGGUGCUGAAGCAACAAAUGCCCUGCUUCCAGGAAAAGCCUCUAAGCAUCAGGUAACAUCAAAUCGUACCCCAAACCGACACAGGUGGUCAGGUAGAGAAUACCAAGGCGCUUGAGAGAACUCGGGUGAAGGAACUAGGCAAAAUGGUGCCGUAACUUCGGGAGAAGGCACGCUGACACGUAGGUGAAGUGAUUUACUCAUGGAGCUGAAGUCAGUCGAAGAUACCAGCUGGCUGCAACUGUUUAUUAAAAACACAGCACUGUGCAAACA
rnacentral:rRNA from 1 species